rnacentral:rRNA from 1 species
UACGAAGGGGGCUAGCGUUGCUCGGAAUGACUGGGCGUAAAGGGCGCGUAGGCGGAUGACACAGUCAGAUGUGAAAUUCCUGGGCUUAACCUGGGGGCUGCAUUUGAUACGUGUUGUCUAGAGUGAGGAAGAGGGUCGUGGAAUUCCCAGUGUAGAGGUGAAAUUCGUAGAUAUUGGGAAGAACACCGGUGGCGAAGGCGGCGACCUGGUCCUUGACUGACGCUGAGGCGCGAAAGCGUGGGGAGCAAACAGG